AAGUCCACUGAUUCAGGUAAAACCGUCAAAUCUGGUGAAGUCACAUCAGCACACACAAACUUGACAUUCUUGUGGUGCCCGUUGAUACUUUCAUUCUUCUUAGUCACUUCUUCAAUAAAGUCCACUGCUACAAGCUCCCCAGCCUUCUCGGCUAAGUCCCCAGUGAAACGGCCAAUACCAGCACCCAAUUCCAACACGGAUUUACCUUCAUAUGAAGGGAGCAGUGAAAGCACCUCAGGCCUAUCCUCUUUGUCAAGAUCAGAUGCUGCAGAAUCACGCAUCAUUGCCUCCAAA
rnacentral:misc_RNA from 1 species